rnacentral:rRNA from 1 species
AGUGAACGCUGGCGGCGUGCCUAAUACAUGCAAGUCGAACGAAGUGGCGCACGGGUGAGUAAUAUAUAGUUAAUCUGCCCUACACAGAGGAACAACAGUUGGAAACGACUGCUAAUACCUCAUAGUGUAGGAUGAGACUAUAUCGUAUCAGCUAGUUGGUAAGGUAAUGGCUUACCAAGGCUAUGACGCGGAACUGGUCUGAUAGGAUGAGCACUAACAUUGGAAGGGAGACACGGUCCAAACUUCUACGGGAGGGAGCAGUAAGGAAAAUUGCGCAAUGGGGGAAACCCUGACGGAGCAUCGCGGCGUGGAGGAUGACACGUUUCGGAGCGUAAACUCUGUUUAUCAGGAAAGCGGUACCUGAUGAAUAAGCACCGGCUAACUCCGUGCCAGCAGCCGCGGUAAUAC